CAGCCCAGGAGCCAGUACUCAGCUCGGGCACAGAAUGGCCUGUCUGUUAAUCCUGGACAGCUUGGUGCAGAGAAGAGUUUCUUCAGGCUCAAGGUUUUUUCUUUGUAGAGACAGGUAAUGACUGGGCAAGAGAAGCUGGCCUGCUAGCUGAAGGCCAUGUGACAGUCCUUGGAACUGCUGUCACUGUUGUGUCUACACAGCCUAUGAGGAUUGAAUACUGAAAUAAAUAAAAGCAAUUUGUGGUGCCUACAACCUCAUACCUGCUGGUCUGCAAGUGGAACCUCACAAUGAGAUGGUUCCCAGUGCAGCAAAACUCACUGACCAUCACUGUGUUGGACACUUCUCUGGAUUCCUCUGGAACAGUGAAGUGAGCACAGUGCCGUGUGAAAGACUGAGUCCCUCAGCUGAGCACGCAGCUGUUAGGGCUCUGUCAUUGCCUGCAUCUCUCUCUGUUUCUGGAUCCUACAUAAAUCAAUGCAGCAGCUGCAACAGUAAGAUUUCCUGUGCUUCUCUGCAGGAGGGCUGUGGAAGUGGAGCAGAACAGGACCAGCUCUGGCAUUUUGGCUGCUGCAGCUGAGAGCAUUGAUUUGAAGCUGUAUCCUGAAAUGCUGAGACCAUUGGUGAGCUGUAGGAGGCCUUCAGCAAUGACCAGCUUUACUCCAGAAGGAAAAGGUUUUGUGCCUGGAGCUGCACUUCCCACCAUUGCAAGUCCUGCCCAGCUUGCACAGAACAGCUUCAGAAAUGACAAAGGCUGCAAGGUGCUCACACACUGUGAUGGCCAGCUGGACAGGAUUGAAAAGGACAGUGACAAGUUAUGCAAGCAAGCAGUGGAGCCACAGGCAGCGGGCAGUGCUGGGGACAACCUACUCUCCCUUCUGGAGCUCCAACUGGAUCACUGGCACCAGGUUUUAAAGGUCUUCUGCUGUUUCUGGGGUUGCAAAAGGAACAUCCAGCUAUCAAGUCAGUGCCCCAUCUUGAAUUUUUAUAUAUCCCUCUUCAUCUUAAAAGGAACUGUACACCUGGAGGUGCCUCAGUGUGGUCAGUGCAACGAGCUGGGCACAGUGCUGAGCAAAGAUUGUAUCUCCUUUCUCUAG
rnacentral:lncRNA from 1 species